AGUCCGUACAUACUUCGUGCGGAAUGUGGGUGUUUUUGCCGGGAGAUUCCAGUUUCCAUAUACCGGUUAAUUGAUCACUGUUGGUCCAUGACAUAUCUUUUGCCAUGAUGAGGCCACUCUCAGAGAGAAGGAGCAACACCUCAUAUUUCCAUCUAGGUAGCCUCCAACCUGAUUGCCUGAACAUCGGUUUCUCCUUCCGAAAGAAGGAAAUGGGGCAAGGAGGAAGACAGAAGGAUAAAAAGGGGAAGGGAGCGAGAGUGGAAGAGGAAAGUGAAGCAGGAGAGGAGGGGAGAGACUUGCUCUCCAGCCUGUGGACACAACACUGCUUCCCACCUUUCCAUCCUAUCCUCUGUUCCCCUUCCAUUCUCUCUCUCCCUCCUCCUUCUCAUUCUUUCUCACCCCUCUUUAGUUCUACUUUAAUACCAUCGUCUGUCUCCAUUGCUCCUUCAAGCUCUCUCACUUUCUUUCAUACCAGUCUGUCACCCUACCCAAUUUUCCUCUUCCUAUUCUCUCACCCCACACACUCCCUCUCUCCUUUGCCUACUCCCUCCCUGCUCAUACUGAAGCCAUUUACUUACGCAUUGUUCAAAAUUCUGAUGUUCAAUUAUCGCCCAUUAUUGUUGGAUCAUGUGAUUAAAACCACAUUUUUCAGCCACAAUUAAUUAAGAUAAUUCUUUUAAUCACUCAACAUCCUAAUUGUAAUGCAAUAAUGUUAAAAAUGGUGAUAAUGUUGUGCUACAUUAUGUUCAAGAUAUAAUGUAAAAUAUGCUAAUUUGCAGACAGCAGAUGAUGAAACUUCACAGUGUGAAUUUCAAUUA